rnacentral:rRNA from 1 species
UACAGAGGUGGCAAGCGUUGUUCGGAAUUACUGGGCGUAAAGGGCGCGUAGGCGGCCUACUAAGUCAGACGUGAAAUCCCCCGGCUUAACCUGGGAACCUGCGUCUGAUACUGGAAGGCUUGAGGAUGGGAGGAGGGAUAGUAGAAUUCCAGGUGUAGCGGUGAAAUGCGUAGAUAUCUGGAGGAAUACCGGUGGCGAAGGCGGCAUCCUGGACCAUUACUGACGCUGAGGCGCGAAAGCUAGGGGAGCAAACGGGAUUAGAUACCGUGUA